GGUGAACGCUGGCGGUGGGCCUAACACAUGCCAGUCGAACGGCAGCACAGUAAGAGCUUGCUCUUACGGGUGGCGAGUGGCGGACGGGUGAGGAAUACAUCGGAAUCUACUUUUUCGUGGGGGAUAACGUAGGGAAACUUACGCUAAUACCGCAUACGACCUACGGGUGAAAGCAGGGGAUCUUCGGACCUUGCGCGAUUGAAUGAGCCGAUGUCGGAUUAGCUAGUUGGCGGGGUAAAGGCCCACCAAGGCGACGAUCCGUAGCUGGUCUGAGAGGAUGAUCAGCCACACUGGAACUGAGACACGGUCCAGACUCCUACGGGAGGCAGCAGUGGGGAAUAUUGGACAAUGGGCGCAAGCCUGAUCCAGCCAUACCGCGUGGGUGAAGAAGGCCUUCGGGUUGUAAAGCCCUUUUGUUGGGAAAGAAAAGCAGCAGGUUAAUACCCCGCUGUUCUGACGGUACCCAAAGAAUAAGCACCGGCUAACUUCGUG
rnacentral:rRNA from 1 species